GUUUUUUUCCCCCUCGUAGUUGAUAUUUACCGAAGUUCCUUGAACGCCUCACACGCGACUACUAUGGAUGCUAGCUGCUCCUGCUGCAGCAUGGACAGGUGUCGGACAGGUACAGUUCUAUCUGUGACAUCGUGGAGCUCUUCCAUCUGUGAUCCAGGUCGUCUCCGCUGUUUUUGGGCGCGUCGUCUGGUCGAAGUCGCCGACAUGUGGACGCUCAGGGGGAGCCUGCUAUUCCCUCCUGCCAUGCAGACCCCCCACUGUUCCCCAUCACCUGACUGCCCCACCCACUUGCUCUCUAUUCCCACUUUCCUCAUUAUCCCUGCAGUAUGUACAUGUAUAGCAGUCUAUUUCAACCUGUUCUGUGUCAGAUUGUCUCACUAAGCGGCCCAGGCACUUCAUAUCUAACUGACUGUUGAUUGUUGACUCUCAU